UUACUUUGUCUUCUUUUUUAAUUGACGAAUUAAUCUUUCGCCUUUUACUAAAGAUUUCCAGUAAGAGUGGUUGUGUUGGAUUUGAGUAUGACCGAAUUUUUGUCAAAGGCUCGACUUUCCUUUCGAGG